rnacentral:tRNA from 1 species
GGGGCCAUCGUCCAGCGGCUAGGACACCACCCUUUCAAGGUGGAGACCGGAGUUCGAUCCUCCGUGGCCCUACCA